rnacentral:rRNA from 1 species
ACUUUCAACAACGGAUCUCUUGGUUCUGGCAUCGAUGAAGAACGCAGCGAAAUGCGAUAAAGUAAUGUGAAUUGCAGAAUUCAGUGAACCAUCGAAUCUUUGAACGCACAUUGCGCCCGCCAGCACUCUGGCGGGCAUGCCUGUCCGAGCGUCAUCUC